CAUCAUUCAGAAGAUAUAAGAAGCUUAGAAGGUAGAAAAGUGGAUUUCUUUGAUUUUUCAGACGACAUUGCUGAAAAACAUAUUACCACAGACAAUUUGAAGGACAUUGACUGUGUCAACUGAUGGGACCCCUUAAGCCAGAGGCAGAUCUCUCAGGGAAGAAGGCAUGAUUCCUGAUAUGGGCAAAGUGCUGGGUACCCAUAAUUGUGUUGUAACUUCUUCUGGCUAUAAACCUGAGCACUGAUGCUUGACCUAU
rnacentral:lncRNA from 1 species